rnacentral:rRNA from 1 species
GACGAACGCUGGCGGCGUGCUUAACACAUGCAAGUCGAACGGAAAGGCCCUGCUUUUGUGGGGUGCUCGAGUGGCGAACGGGUGAGUAACACGUGAGUAACCUGCCCUUGACUUUGGGAUAACUUCAGGAAACUGGGGCUAAUACCGGAUAGGAGCUCCUGCUGCAUGGUGGGGGUUGGAAAGUUUCGGCGGUUGGGGAUGGACUCGCGGCUUAUCAGCUUGUUGGUGGGGUAGUGGCUUACCAAGGCUUUGACGGGUAGCCGGCCUGAGAGGGUGACCGGCCACAUUGGGACUGAGAUACGGCCCAGACUCCUACGGGAGGCAGCAGUGGGGAAUAUUGCACAAUAGGCGGAAGCCUGAUGCAGCAACGCCGCGUACGGGAUGACGGCCUUCGGGUUGUAAACCGCUUUCGCCUGUGACGAAGCGUGAGUGACGGUAAUGGGUAAAGAAGCACCGGCUAACUACGUG